rnacentral:rRNA from 1 species
UAGAGUUUGAUCCUGGCUCAGGACGAACGCUGGCGGCGUGCGUAAUACAUGCAAGUCGAGCGGGCGUCGGUUUCGGCCGGCGUUAGCGGCGGACGGGUGAGUAACGCGUGCGUGACCUAGCCGUGCGGUGGGGGAUAACUGCCCGAAAGGGUGGCUAAUCCCGCAUGUGGCCCUGAGGGUCGAGCCUUGGGGAGAAAGUCGGCGUGUGAUGCGUCGGCGCCGUCGGGGGGGCGCGCGUCCCAUUAGGUGGUUGGUGGGGCAGCGGCCUACCAAGCCGGUGAUGGGUAGCUGGUCUGAGAGGAUGGCCGGCCACACUGGGACUGAGAGACGGCCCAGACUCCUACGGGGGGCAGCAGUAAGGGAUCUUCGACAAUGGCCGCAAGGCUGAUCGAGCGACGCCGCGUGGGUGAUGACGGGCUGCGGCCUGUAAAGCCCUGUUGAUCGGGACGAGGAUGGACGGUACCGGUCGAGGAAGCCCCGGCUAACCACGUGCCAGCAGCCGCGGUAGCCCAAU